rnacentral:rRNA from 1 species
UGGGGAAUUUUUGACAAUGGGCGAAAGCCUGAUCCAGCAAUGCCGCGUGUGUGAAGAAGGCCUUCGGGUUGUAAAGCACUUUUGUCCGGAAAGAAAUGGCUCUGGUUAAUACCUGGGGUCGAUGACGGUACCGGAAGAAUAAGGACCGGCUAACUACGUGCCAGCAGCCGCGGUAAUACGUAGGGUCCAAGCGUUAAUCGGAAUUACUGGGCGUAAAGCGUGCGCAGGCGGUUGUGCAAGACCGAUGUGAAAUCCCCGAGCUUAACUUGGGAAUUGCAUUGGUGACUGCACGGUUAGAGUGUGUCAGAGGGGGGUAGAAUUCCACGUGUAGCAGUGAAAUGCGUAGAGAUGUGGAGGAAUACCGAUGGCGAAGGCAGCCCCCUGGGAUAACACUGACGCUCAGGCACGAAAGCGUGGGGAGCAAACAGG